rnacentral:rRNA from 1 species
GACGAACGCUGGCGGCGUGCCUAAUACAUGCAAGUAGAACGCACAGUUUAUACCGUAGCUUGCUACACCAUAAACUGUGAGUUGCGAACGGGUGAGUAACGCGUAGGUAACCUGCCUGGUAGCGGGGGAUAACUAUUGGAAACGAUAGCUAAUACCGCAUAAUAUUGAUUAUUGCAUGAUAAUUGAUUGAAAGAUGCUAUUGCAUCACUACCAGAUGACCUGCGUUGUAUUAACUAGGAGGUGAGGUAACGGCUCACCUAGGCGACGAUACAUAGCCGACCUGAGAGGGUGAUCGGCCACACUGGGACUGAGACACGGCCCAGACUCCUACGGGAGGCAGCAGUAGGGAAUCUUCGGCAAUGGACGAAAGUCUGACCGAGCAACGCCGCGUGAGUGAAGAAGGGUUUCGGAUCGUAAAGCUCUGUUGUAAGAGAAGAACGGGUGUGAGAGUGGAAAGUUCACACUGUGACGGUAUCUUACCAGAAAGGGACGGCUAACUACGUG